GACGUAGGGGGCGAGCGUUGUCCGGAUUCACUGGGCGUAAAGCGCGCGUAGGCGGCUCGCUAAGUCGGAUGUGAAAACCCGGGGCUCAACCCCGGGCCUGCACCCGAUACUGGCGGGCUGGAGGCAGGUAGGGGAGACUGGAAUUCCUGGUGUAGCGGUGAAAUGUGUAGAGAUCCGGAAGAACACCGGUGGCGAAGGCGGCCUGCUGGGCAGUUUAGCUGACACUGAGGCGCGACAGCGUGGGGAGCAAACAGG
rnacentral:rRNA from 1 species